CCCCAGCACUGUCUGCCUUGCCAGAGCAAAAACGCUGCGCAGGCGACACAAGUCUCUCUGUGCAACCUCCUGGAGCAAGGGAGAGCCUUUCCAGUUCCACAGUCUCGCUCCUGCUCUCAUUGAAAACACUGCAAAAAUCUUCUGCUUGCUCACGUGCUAAACAGAGCUCACGUGCUUUCCAUAGGUGGCUGUUGAGAAUCUGAAAAGGAUCUCUUCAGAAGCUUGUUUGUUACCGUACAUUCAUUUUCACCUCUACAUGGUUUAACAGCUUUUCUUUCAUUAAACAUUUCAGAAGAUUU